GGCGCACGGGUGCGUAACACGUAUGCAACCUACCUUAUAGACGGGGAUAGCCUUUGGAAACGGAGAUUAAUACCCGAUAGUAUAUAUUGAUGGCAUCAUUAGUAUAUUAAAGAUUUAUUGCUAUAAGCUGGGCAUGCGUCCAAUUAGUUAGUUGGUUAGGUAAUGGCUGACCAAGACGAUGAUUGGUAGGGGAACUGAGAGGUUAAUCCCCCACACUGGCACUGAGAUACGGGCCAGACUCCUACGGGAGGCAGCAGUAGGGAAUAUUGGGCAAUGGAGGCAACUCUGACCCAGCCAUGCCGCGUGCAGGAUGAAGGCGUUAUGCGUUGUAAACUGCUUUUAUAUAGGAAGAAACAGACCUUGCGAGGUAAUUUGACGGUACUAUAUGAAUAAGCACCGGCUAACUCCGUGCCAGCAGCCGCGGUAACACGGAGGGUGCAAGCGUUGUCCGGAUUUAUUGGGUUUAAAGGGUGCGUAGGCGGUUUAUUAAGUCAGUGGUGAAAGACGGUCGCUCAACGAUUGCAGUGCCAUUGAUACUGGUAGACUUGAGUGAGAUUGAGGUAGCUGGAAUGGAUAGUGUAGCGGUGAAAUGCAU
rnacentral:rRNA from 1 species